rnacentral:tRNA from 1 species
ACCUGGGUGGCUCAGUUGGUAGAGCAUAUGACUCUUGAUCUCAGGGUCAUGAGUUCGAAUCCCACACUGAGUG